CCUACGGGAGGCAGCAGUGAGGAAUAUUGGUCAAUGGGCUUACGCCUGAACCAGCCAAGUCGCGUGAGGGAAGACUGCCCUAUGGGUUGUAAACCUCUUUUGUCAGGGAGCAACGCCGGCUACGUGUAGCCGGACUGAGAGUACCUGAAGAAAAAGCAUCGGCUAACUCCGUGCCAGCAGCCGCGGUAAUACGGAGGGGGCAAGCGUUAUCCGGAUUUACUGGGUGUAAAGGGGGCGCAGACGGCGAUGCAAGCCAGGAGUGAAAGCCCGGGGCCCAACCCCGGGACUGCUGUUGGAACUGGGUGGCUAGAGUGCAGGAGGGGCAGGCGGAAUUCGUGGUGUAGCGGUGAAAUGCGUAGAUAUCAGGAGGAACACCGGUGGCGAAGGCAGCCUGCUGGACUGCAACUGACGUUGAGGCCCGAAAGCGUGGGGAGCAAACAGGAUUAGAUACCCCGGUAGUC
rnacentral:rRNA from 1 species